rnacentral:tRNA from 1 species
GCCAGCAUGGCACAGUGGUUUGAAUGUUGGACUACAACUCUGGAGACCAGGGUUCAAUUGCCAGCUCUGCCA